AAAUAAUAACUCAUAAAACAUUUUAAUUUUAAUAAAAUACAUAAAACAUUUGUGAGAAAAAAAGGUGUGAGUUCUCUGAAGAACGUCUGAGUUGUAGUUGAAGAACUGAAGUCGAAGAGUUGAAGAACAAAACUCGAAGAAUUGAUUACGUUAUGUGUGAGUUUGAUUCCCUUGUCCGAUAAAAAUUUCGUGAAGCAAGAGGAGAACAAGAAGGAUUUGAUUACUUUGGGGUUGUUUUCGAUGAAUACGAUUUCAUACAGAAUUGAAGCUAAGAACACGAUUUCAAACAAAACUGAAAAGCUCAAUAGCUGAAGAGCUUCUUGCUGAAGGACAUGAUUUACAUGAAAGUUCUUGCUGAAAAUAGGAUUUUCCUGUUAAUAGUGUUUAUAAGUUUGGUAGCUUUAUUGGCUUUGGAGCUAAACCCUGAUCUUCUAGUUUUGCUGAGUGAUGUUGAAGGUCAUUACACCGGCCCUCCAAGCGAUCCACAAUCAGAGAUAAUUCAUACGUAUGUUGAGGAGAAGCAGGAGGGAUUGAUUAAUUUCAGUGGUAGCUGUUAUGUUGUUUUAUCGAUAUGCAUUGAUGAUUUGAAGUUCAUGAUCCAAAGAUGUAGUUUGAUGAUAGAAGGCUUUAAAAUUUCUCUUAUGGUCAAGCAGAGGUGUUUAGAAGUUCUACAGUAUUUCUAACUUCUGCUUGAUGCGUUGACAAAUGGCUGCAUUAAUUGCGAAUAAGUUGGACCAAAUUCUCCCUUGAAAUUUAACAAAUAUAUGAAGAGAUUUAUUUAAUUACUCUAAUAGCCCUAAGGAGUUUUCAAAGAUGAGCAGAACAAGAUGCAUGUAAUCAUAUGAGUCGUUCAGUUAAACAUGACUAGUAGUGUAUUUGUAGCACAUAGUAUCUGCCCCAUUCUUCAAUCUAUCCAUUUUUUUUAUCUAGUACUUCUUCAAUGGAAUCAAGGCAGUGACUUUCAUGCACUUGAAGCUCAUAUUGGACCCUUGAAGGCAUCCUGAAAGUAGCUACGAAUAAUAUUAGUAAAUAACAUAAUUUUCCUUGGUCCACUGGGUCUUUGUCAGUUGUCACUAAUUGUAUACUUGAAAAAGCUAACGAUGUUGUUUUAUGGAAAAUCAAAUGGUAUAGAUAACUAUUUUUCACACUAUUGUUUCUUUAACCAUGGAGAAUCUUGGACAAUUAGAAUUUUGGGAAUACUUGAUAAAAAGCAUCCAGUUAUGACUGAAAAAUUUGAUCACUGAUUUAUCUUUGAAUUCACUCUUGGAAGUAAUCUUUAUUUCUGGAAUGCUAUAACCUUAUCCUCCUUGCUGAUGGAAUCAUAUUGGAGAAAACAUCAUCCACAUUGGGCGUUCUCCUUAUUAUGUAUGAGUCACGACAUGAUGCACUGGUACAGAUGGUAUUUUCCACAUCUGAAUUGAUAAGUCUGCUGAUUUGGAUAUGGCAAAACAUACUGUUUUAGAUGCAAAAACAGAUUACCCUGCAGCCUGCAAUGCAAUGGUUUAGAUCGUUGAAGUGUUUUGGAUGGAGACUUUAAGAAGGCUUGGAUCCUUGAUCAUCCAAGUAAGGGUAGGUCCUCAGUGUCCGAGGGCGAUGCCAAUAUCGAGCUUAUGUUAUUAUUUAGCUUUAAGACUAUUAUAUUUUAUCUCCUUUCAUUUGAGUACGGAUUGUAUUAAAACUAUAUGCACCUUGAUGUAUGGGCUAGCCCAACUUGUUAAUCGUGUUAGAUGGUUAUGAGAUGAGACACUCUUUGAAGACUAUUUUCUA